rnacentral:lncRNA from 1 species
UCAGAACUUAUUAUCACUUAUCAUCACAAAUUAACCAAGAGAAAGGGGUAUAAGAAUUAAGAUAUUGAUCUAAAUUAGCUAAUACAUAUGUAUCGGGUCCGGCACGGGUUACCCAUGGGUAAAAAAUAUAACCCAGUUGUUACCCACGACGUCUUUGGAUCUUGGACGGACGUGUCCACAGGUAAGAAAUCACACCGACACUCGUGCCCAUCGAAUUGAGUAUCCGAUACCCGGACCUGUGAGUAAAAUUGCCGUUAUCCGCCGCUUAAUCGGAAAGGUGACGUCACUAUGUUUAAGUGAUGGGAGGGGAAUGAGCUUCUACCUGGAGUGGGUCCCACGCUCCAACCAUCGCCCCCGGUUUUCUUCACCCUCCCUGACCGAGCCCUCCCUCCACCCUCUCCGGCCGCUCCCUCUCGCCGGCGACAGAUCGAGCGUCCACGGCGGCGGCGGCGCGACGGCAGAACUCGGGAACGGCGGCUCCGUCGCCGGCAGCACCUUUGCGCACUCGAUCAGACGGCCGAUCGUUGAAAAACAAAUGAUAAACUGGUCGGACCGGUUUGGCCCGGUUUUCAUAAAAAAACCGCCUGGUCCUCUCUCUCCAGCCACCACUGAACAUGCUACCCCACAUAAAACCCCUCACAGACCAUCCCCUUCUCCGCC